rnacentral:rRNA from 1 species
UACGGGAGGCAGCAGUGGGGAAUAUUGCACAAUGGGCGCAAGCCUGAUGCAGCCAUGCCGCGUGUAUGAAAAAGGCCUUCGGGUUGUAAAGUACUUUCAGUCGUGAGGAAGGUGUUAAGGUUAAUAACCUUAGCAAUUGACGUUAGCGACAGAAGAAGCACCGGCUAACUCCGUGCCAGCAGCCGCGGUAAUACGGAGGGUGCGAGCGUUAAUCGGAAUUACUGGGCGUAAAGGGCACGCAGGCGGUUAAUUAAGUUGGAUGUGAAAUCCCCGGGCUUAACCUGGGAAUGGCAUUCAAGACUGGUUAGCUAGAGUCUUGUAGAGGGGGUAGAAUUCCAUGUGUAGCGGUGAAAUGCGUAGAGAUGUGGAGGAAUACCGGUGGCGAAGGCGGCCCCGUGGACAAAGACUGACGCUCAUGUGCGAAGCGUGGGGAGCAAACAGGGAUUAGAUACC